GGCGAUAUUGCGAUCGAGUGUUUGAUCGUUGUUCGACUCUGAGGCCUAGCCCUAGGCCUAGAAUACUAGUUGCAGAAGGAUUUUCCGUGAAAAAUAAGAAUAUGGGUAGGAGCAGAAGUAGGUCUCGAUCACCGAGAAGGAGAGAGAGGAGACGUUCAAGGUCAUUUUCACCUAGAGAUAGAGAUCGAGGAGACAGAGACAGAGAUGUGGAUAGACGCAGGAGAUUUACAGAGAGACGUCGCUCAAGAUCAAGAUCACCUGUACGGAGGUAUAGGAGAUCAAGGUCAAGAUCAAGGUCGCCAAGGAGGAGAAGAUCCCGGACUCCAUCACCAAGGAGGAGAAGAAGGAGCGAAACACCGGAGAGACCUGGGCCUAGCAGAGGACGGAGUUAUGAACAGGAAAAGCCAGAAAUUGAUGAGAAAAAGUUGGAGGACAUGACAGAGGAUGAGAUUGAGAUGAUGAAAGUCAUGGGUUUUGCAGCAUUUGAUACCACCAAGGGUAAACGUUUGUUUAUGUUCACAGGGUAAACAUGUAGAUGGUGCAAGUAACGCAUUUGCAGCUAACAUACAAACAAAGAGGAAGUACAGGCAGUACAUGAACAGGAGAGGAGGCUUCAAUCGCCCUCUUGAUUUCAUCGCUUAGAUCCUCAUAAAUUCCUUUUUGAUGUUGGAGCAAGUAGAACUUUGUCACAUCUUUUAACACCAAGAGAACAUUGUCCUGUAUGCACAAACUGAGAGGUGUUGGUAACUUUAGGUUACAUUUUGGAAGCUGUUGCAUUCGUUUGGAUGACAUCCAUCUCAGGUUUGGUAGAGAGUUGUCACCUUUAUGGAGCAGUGUCCCUGUUUUAGGGGAGUUUGGAAUUGUGGAGUUGUGCAUCACAAAAAACUUUUAAUAAAAAUGAAAACCUGGACUUGCUUUCUGAUGAGAUGACAUCCAUCUUGGGAGGUUUUUUAAUUGCCAAUGUACAUGUAUAAGAGUAAUAUUGCUGCAAGUGUAACAGAACCUUGUAUCUUCCCCGAGUGUAAAGUUUAGUAGGAUGGAAUCAUGUGACUGCCUUAUAGUCUGACCUAACAUAUAUUAAUGACUUCAUGUCCUGGGAUUAGAGAACUUUUUAAGCAAAAAAGUGAGUUUUUCAUCAGCAAUGAAGAAACAAGGUUUUGUGAUUCAGCAGCAAUUGUUUUGUCACUGUGUUCUGUCUGCAUUAUUUGUCUUACAUAAGUAAUGUGUUACACCCUGUCUUUGCAUCUUUUAGUUCUUGAUGAAAAAAAAAAUACAGAGCAAGAAUCGAUGAUAUACUAUACAUGUAUAUACUGAAGGGUUGACUGAAUUUUCUUAACUGAUCAUGGCUGAAUGCAGUGGGAAGGGGGGGGGGGGGUCAGAACAUACUUGGUUGAUGUGACAUUUACAGCAUUAUGAUAAUCAGUCCUUUCCUAAAUUAUAAUUCAUUUAAUGUACAUAAUUCAAAUGUGUGUAAUGAUAUAUGUGUGUAAUAUGCUAAAAAACUGAGAAAAUACUGAAUUGAAAGAGAUGUAUGGCAUUGCAAAUUAAGAUGUAGAUGUAUAAUCGCAUCAGUGCAUGAGUACCUUAGCGCUGACCUAAUAUCCUUUGACAAUGACUCUACCAUAGUCAACUGUCUUGGGACCACACAAAUAUGUUCAACUCCACAAAAUUUGAUUUAGAAAAUGAUGCUUUUUCAUAUUCUGGUCCAAGAACAACAACAUUUGACCAUUCCAUGUUCUUGUAUAAAUUUGUUACCCAUUAGACCAGUUCGUAGUUCCAUUCUGUGCAUGAUCAGAAGAGGGUCAUUUGAUAUCAAGUGGCAUGGUGGUGUGAUAUUCAAUGAGAAAAGCACCAAGUUUAAUUUUUUGUUUAUUCAAUGAAUAAACAAAACAUUAUCUUGAAGUGUGCUCUUCAUUAGAUACACUGGAAAGCAAGAAUGCAUCCAUAAGCAACUAAGAAAGAGUUUGCCAAGUAGCAACAUGCUAAUGCAUUCAAAGUAGAAAUGCAACAAAUACCAUCAUAUAGUGGCGGCACCAAGAUUUUGAAACUGUGGAGGCAAGUGGGAACAAAAGAACUUUUUGGGGGACAAAGCCGGACACAACAUAUUUUGUCUGUUUCACAAAAUCGUGUGCGGAAUGCAAGCUAAAAUUUUUAAUGUAGGCCCUACUGACUUGAAAAGUGACCUGUUAAGCCUGUUCGCAGUGGGUCAUGAAGAUGAUAUCUCACCAAAUGAAUAAUGCGAACAAAGCGCGAGCUGAAAUUUUUUAAAUAUCCUGAGAUAAUAACUGGACUUUCUAAGCACUUUUUUUAAUCAUUAACAGAGUCUUACUAAAAAGAAUUUAUGUAAGCGCGUAGUUUCAACUGAAUAUGUAGGAUGUGUAUCUUGCUAAAAUAAUGAAAACUAAUCGCAAGAAGCAUAUUGACUCAAAACACUGGAUUUUCAAGCCUCAUGUUAUCCUAUCGAAGAGAUCAUUUAUUUAUCUAAUCAACAGCGACUGUUAUUAUGUUUUGGAGCACUUUACAGCUUAAGUAGGAUGCUUAUGACAGCAUUUACUAUAUUUUUUUCUGUUUUCUUUUUUUUGUGAGGGGGGGGCGAUGAUUAUGACUGGGGAGCAAAUGCCCCCCCCCCCCCCCUGGUGCUACCACUGCCUUCAUAAACUGUUCAGUGAUGUGCUAUUCUAGUCACCUGGUCUAUGCAAUCUCUGCAUCCUUAUACAGUAUGUCAGGCAUGCUUACCUAAUAUCUUAAUUGAAAUCUGCCUAUCCUAAUGAAAGGAAAGGUAAUUUUGAACAUACUUACAUGAGGUAUUUCUGAUAUUGGGCCCAUAACACAAAUCUUAGCAAUGAUGGUAGAACAUUUUCUAAAAUUGAUUGCAUUGACUACAUUGUACAAUCAAUCAUGAAAAUCAAGCAUACCAUUAAUUGAUAAUCAUUGUGUUACGGAGCCCUGGUCUAUUUUUUAUUGAUAAUUUUGACAACACACCCCUAUGGCAAACAGUGGUUUAUGUCCUAUUUUCAAUGAAAUUGUCCUCAUUUCCAUACAUAAAAUUAGGGGCUACGGUUAUUUGAAAAAAUAUCCUUGUUUAGAAAAUCUAAUAUCAAUAUUGGAUGUGAUCAUGUAGAACAAAGCUAUAUUGCAAAUUGCAUGUAAAUUUUGAAUUCUAAAAUCUUUGUAAAGAAAAAAAGGUUGUGCCCUUUGAUUGCAUAUCAAUCAUAAUGAAGCCAUGAUUUAAAUAAAUUUAAGAACACCCCAGUGAUAUAUCUGCCUUCAUGUAAAAAUCUGAUUUAUUUUAAGUUUGAAGUUGAAGUACAAAGGACAUAGUUUAGGUUUUUUAUGAAACUAUUUAAACAAGUGUUCUGAAACUUACAUUCAUCUCUUUUUCUUUGAUAGGGGUAUUUAUUUUACAGCUCUGCAUGACUCAUCACUCAUUUUUUAAUUAUCAUGUUCACUCUUGAACAAUGAUGGUCCUUUAUUUUCUACUUAUUGUGUAUAUAUAUUUUUUUUACUUUUGGGAUUAUUUCUUUUUUUAAAGUCAUUAGUAUUAACGAAAAGAAGUUUGAAAUGAAAUUCCAUAGACACUUGGAGGAACAACAUGAUUAAAUAUUCUUGUCUAGUUA